GUACAUACAUGUUAUUAAAACUUGAACUAAUGCACUGUGAGUCUUAUAAAUUGCUUACAUACCUCACCGAUUUCCCACUGUCUGGAAAACGCUCGGUUUAGUUCCUGUCUCCGCCUCCCAAAAUGUCUAGUGUAUUCGGAUUGGUCAGAUGACUACUCAACUGUUAUUGGUCAACUGGGUUCGGCGUGUGUUUGAAAGGUUACGCCCCUGACUACGCGUGGGUUUUCCGGUUCUGACUGAGAGUCACAGGCAACGUAAACAAGCGCUAUAUUUCUCUAUAAACGAUGGUGUCUGUACUGCCUUACCACUUCAAGCUCGAUCCAGAGAGUUCAGACGGCGUUACGAUAUAAACGAUCUCCGUCAAUUAACGCGAUUGGAUUUAACUUUUUUAGGUGUCCUUAGCUCUGCCAGAAUGCUAAACGAAGACGAAAAUGUGUUGCAAAGACAUCCAAAAGGUUUUAAGGAGAAUGCAACAGGUUCCAGGGCCUCUUACCUGCGUGAUUCAUCAUCCAGAUACGCUUGGAGCUUCCUGAUCAGAUCGGUCACAAUUUUGGCUUUCGAUGACCCCUGCACUGAAGAUGGCAUGCAAUCACGUCCUCCUUUGAAGGUCUCUCAAACUGUGAUGCCAGGUCCAUUGGAAUCGGGGUU